AUUGAACGCUGGCGGCAGGCCUAACACAUGCAAGUCGAGCGGCUGAAGGGAGCUUGCUCCUGGAUUCAGCGGCGGACGGGUGAGUAAUGCCUAGGAAUCUGCCUGGUAGUGGGGGAUAACGUCCGGAAACGGGCGCUCAUACCGCCUACGUCCUGAGGGAGAAAGUGGGGGAUCUUCGGACCUCACGCUCUCAGCUGAGCCUAGGUCGGAUUAGCUAGUUGGUGGGGUAAAGGCCUACCAAGGCGACGAUCCGUAACUGGUCUGAGAGGAUGAUCAGUCACACUGGAACUGAGACACGGUCCAGACUACUACGGGAGGCAGCAGUGGGGAAUAUUGGACAAUGGGCGAAAGCCUGAUCCAGCCAUGCCGCGUGUGUGAAGAAGGUCUUCGGAUUGUAAAGCACUUUAAGUUGGGAGGAAGGGCAGUAAGUUAAUACCUUGCUGUUUUGACGUUACCAACAGAAUAAGCACCGGCUAACUUCGUG
rnacentral:rRNA from 1 species